rnacentral:rRNA from 1 species
AAGUAUACAAGGUGCUGCAUGGUUGUCGUCAGCUCGUGCCGUGAGGUGUCGGGUUAAGUCCCAUAACGAGCGCAACCCCUAUCAUUACGUUGCCAUCGGGUCAAGCUGGGGACUCUAAUGAAACUGCCUACGCAAGUAGUGGAGGAAGGUGGGGAUGACGUCAAAUCAGCACGGCCCUUACGUCCAGGGCUACACACGUGCUACAAUGGCCGGUACAAAGGGCAGCUACCUGGUGACAGGAUGCUAAUACUCAAAAGCCGGUCUCAGUUCGGAUCGGAGUCUGCAACCCGACUCCGUGAAGCUGGAUUCGCUAGUAAUCGCGCAUCAGCCACGGCGCGGUGAAUACGUUCCCGGGCCUU